ACGGCUGAGUAACGCGUGGGAAUCUACCCUAAAGUGAGGGAUAACCGCCCGAAAGGGUGGCUAAUACCGCAUAUGAUCUUCGGAUUAAAGGAUUUAUCCGCUUUAGGAAGAGCCCGCGUUAGAUUAGGUAGUUGGUAGGGUAAUGGCCUACCAAGCCAACGAUCUAUAGCUGGUCUGAGAGGAUGAUCAGCCAGACUGGAACUGAGACACGGUCCAGACUCCUACGGGAGGCAGCAGUGAGGAAUCUUCCACAAUGGGCGAAAGCCUGAUGGAGCAACGCCGCGUGAAGGAUGAAGGCCUUCGGGUUGUAAACUUCUUUUAUGAGUGAAGAAUAUGACGGUAACUCAUGAAUAAGCACCGGCUAACUACGUGCCAGCAGCCGCGGUCAUACGUAGGGUGCAAGCAUUAUCCGGAGUGACUGGGCGUAAAGAGUUGCGUAGGCGGUUAGAUAAGUCUGAAGUUAAAGGCUGUGGCUUAACCAUAGUACGCUUUGGAAACUGUUUAACUUGAGUGCAAGAGGGGAGAGUGGAAUUCCAUGUGUAGCGGUGAAAUGCGUAGAUAUAUGGAGGAACACCGGUGGCGAAAGCGGCUCUCUGGCUUGUAACUGACGCUGAGGCUCGAAAGCGUGGGGAGCAAACAGGAUUAGAUACCCU
rnacentral:rRNA from 1 species